rnacentral:rRNA from 1 species
UGGGGAAUAUUGCACAAUGGGGGAAACCCUGAUGCAGCGACGCCGCGUGAAGGAAGAAGUAUUUCGGUAUGUAAACUUCUAUCAGCAGGGAAGAAGAUGACGGUACCUGAGUAAGAAGCACCGGCUAAAUACGUGCCAGCAGCCGCGGUAAUACGUAUGGUGCAAGCGUUAUCCGGAUUUACUGGGUGUAAAGGGAGCGUAGACGGAUAGGCAAGUCUGGAGUGAAAACCCAGGGCUCAACUCUGGGACUGCUUUGGAAACUGCAGAUCUGGAGUGCCGGAGAGGUAAGCGGAAUUCCUAGUGUAGCGGUGAAAUGCGUAGAUAUUAGGAGGAACACCAGUGGCGAAGGCGGCUUACUGGACGGUGACUGACGUUGAGGCUCGAAAGCGUGGGGAGCAAACAGG